CCCUUAGAUGUUCUGGGCCGCACGCGCGCUAAACUGAUCAGUGCAACAAGCAUCCGUCCUUGGCCGACAGGCCCGGGCAAUCUUUGAACGCUGAUCGUGAUGGGGAUAGACUUUUGCAAUUUUUGGUCUUCAACGAGGAAUUCCUAGUAAACGCAAGUCAUCAACUUGCAUUGAUUACGUCCCUGCCCUUUGUACACACCGCCCGUCGCACCUACCGAUUGAAUGGUCCGGUGAAGCCUCCGGAUUGGCGCGCACCUCGGUGCCGCCGAGAAGUUGGCUAAACCUUACCAUUUAGAGGAAGGUGAAGUCGUAACA
rnacentral:rRNA from 1 species